UGCUCUGGUUUCUCUUCAUAACGAACAAAUCUUUCGCCUUUUAUUAAAGAUUUCCGUGGAGCGGAGCAAAACAAUAAGAUUCGGUUUUGAGAACCGAGUAAAACCGAAUCCGC